ensembl:lncRNA
UGCUGCUUGUGCUGCUGGUGGUGCUUGUGGUGCUGGUGCUGCUGGUGCUGCUGGUGCUGCUCGUGGUGCUGAUGCUGCUGGUGCUGCUGGUGCUGGUGCUGCUGGUGCUGCUGGUGCUGCUUGUGCUGCUGGUGGUGCUUGUGGUGCUGGUGCUGCUGGUGCUGCUGGUGCUGCUGAUGGUGCUGAUGCUGCUGGUGCUGCUGGGGCAUCAGCUUGAGCAGCGCUGGGAGAUUCCAUCCCGGGGACCCGGCAACACCCCAGCACGGUGGUCAUGGUGAGGAGGGUCUUAAUCAGGGGGACGUAGUGGACUUUCUUCUCUUUGGGACUUUAUAGUUAAAAACUUUAACUAUAGAAAACUUUGUGGUUAAAGUUACUAUAAAAAAACCUUUAUAGUACCCAUUGUUAGAAGACAAAACAAAAGCGAGUUCUGGGAGAUGUGUGUCAUUGAGUGAGUUUUGCCCUUUGGCACCUAAACUGGCAACAAUGGAUUCGCCUGGAUGAUAAAUCACUCAUAAGCUGGAAUGUAAUUCUGGCUGAUCGUAAGCUUCACUUUCACUUCUCCAGGGUCAGCUUGACCUGAGCUGGCAGAUGUGGGGCCUCCACACCACACACAAUGGAAGGAACACAGGGUGAAGCCCAUUCCGCUUUCCCUCAGGAGUCCACCCACCUCCACGUUUGCUCGGAGGAAAGAUUUGGGGGAAAUCUCAACCCUCCUGCACUCAGGGUUCUUGGGGUUCUGUCCAGGUGCAGCUAAUAUCACUCAUGCAAUUAUUCAGAAUUUUCUGUUGUUUUCUAGUCCUGGAGGGGGGAGAGUCAGGAGGAGAAGUGGUUAAUGUCCUUUCUAUGUAAUUCAACUAGAAUAUUAACAUAUUAAGAAGCUAUAAAACAAGGUGAUGGAGGUGGCAGCAUCCAUGUAAAUGUCAUCGAUGUGCCCCUCUUUGCAGGGUCUGUGCUAAUGCACCAGGCUGGGCGUGAGGCCUCCGGGACUUUGAAACAAGCCAAGUGGAACACAUUGCAUUUAUGCAGUCCUCCCUGGCUGGCUGGAAAUGUUAGCCCUGCAGGGUACCCUAGAGGGAACCCAGGACAACACGUCCUACAUGGAGCCAAGGAAACGGAGCUAGCGCCAAGGACCCACAAGUCAGAGGUGACCCAGACUGUCUGCCUCUCCGUACGAUGGAGGGCGCUUGCUGCCUGUGCCUCCUCUGAGAUUCGGGGGCGGUGGGUGGGAGGAGGGCACCGAGGCCGUGUCCGCCUUGAACAGAGCCUUCGCCUCUUCUCCUCUGCCUGGAGCCAGUUGCCAAGGCACGGAGAUGACCCAGGGACGCAUGGCCCUUCCCACCUGUGACUGGGCGGUGAGGCUGCAAGGUCCCUGGGCAGCUCCUGCUCUCACUGCCUCCCCGAGGUGCCCCUCAGAGACCCUGUGAGUGAGAAUGCUCAGCCCACAGAAGUGCCCCUGGCCACUUGCCCUGCUCCAUCCACCCCAAGGAUGCCCCUGACUCCAGGAGGAUGAACCCCUGAGCUAGACACAUCUGUCCAUCCAGCCCCAUUUCCCGGGAUGCGCAUAGAGUCCAGCAUGUGGGGGAAGUUAUUUACUCAGAGGCAAAGGCUGCAGCCCCAUCUCAGGGCCCUGGGGCCCCCUGUGGCCUGUCUGUGAGGGGUCUCUGGUCAGGCACCAGCUGUCUGCAGAGCCACCUUCUCCUCCAUGCCUCUUCUACACCGGGCUUUGCAAACAUUGGUAAGCAUCGGGAUCACUCGGGGGCUUGUGACAGCCCCCCGCCCCCCACAGCCCUGAGUCAGCAGGUCUCGAGGGAGGUCAGAGCCAGCUCCCAGGGGAGGCAGACGCUGCAGGUCUGGACUAGACACAGGGAAGUGCUGGAUGACACAAGUCCCAUGGCUGCUGCCCAUCUCCUCCCCCCUCGGGGUGGGGGAUGUGCCGCAGUCUCUCUCAUCCCGUCUGGGAGUUCCAGUUAUCCUCCGGUCCUCCCCACUCUCAAGCCCAGAUCCUUUUACCCACCCUGCUUGAGACGGGAGGCUAAGCAACUCGGGGUGUACAGUCCUGGCAUCACCCUCCUGCCAGGGCCCUGGAAGCCGCCACUGGGCGCGAAAGAGCCCAGACCAUUUCAGACCAAUCUCCUGCGCUCUAACUAGGGGGAGUGGGCCUGAGGGCCUGUGACAGUCCUUCCAGCUCCUGAGCCACAGCAAACACGUCUUCCCUCACGUGCCUUUAGACUGUGUCUAGUUAUCCACCAGCACAAACAGUGACCUCAAAUUGUAGUGGCUAAAACAGCAGUCUGUUAUGACUCUGUCCCUUGGUUCUGUGGGUGAGAAAUGGAGACAGGCUACAGCUGGAAUGGCCCAUCUCUGCUCCAUGAUGUCAGGGUCUCCACUGGGAGAAGGUAAACUGAGCCGGCCUCUCUCUCUCUCUCUCUCUCUCUCUCUCUCUCUCUCGUCACCACCUUUCUCUGUGGGGAGCUUGGGCUUCCUCGCAGCAUGGCGGACUCAGGUUAGUCGAAUGGCUAAUGGGUGGACAUUGCAAGCCUCCUUAAGACAUAGCCUCUGAAGUCCCAGAACAUCCCUUCCAUCACAGCCUAUGGUUACGGAAUUCAGGAAGCCCUGCAAGAUCGGAGAAAGCUCGCUGCCCUCGUGUGAACCACCCAGUGAGGCCCGUCAAGGUCCCAAACAGCUGCUGCCAUUCAAGGAGCUUCGCUGACAUCCACGUGGGCGGCAGGUUAGCACGUGGUCCUCACCCGCCCUUGGAUGAGCCCUGGCUGUUGGCUGUCUGGGACUCGGCUUCACAUGCUUGCCGUGAGAGCGCUGAUGGUUCCGGCUCGCAGCCCCAGGUGCUGUGUGUUCCUGCCUCAAGACAGCAGGUCUGACAGGCACCAGGACUGCCCAGCGACGGAAAAGAUGGAGAAACACAACAAGGCCCUCAAUGUGACCAGCUGGCACUUGCAUCAGUGUUGAAAAUUUCAAACAGUGACACAAGUUAGGACUGUGAGGGACAAUAUUUUUGUUUGAGGAGAUGAGCGUUAACAAUGGUCGGCUCUGGUGUAAAUCUGCCGGGUCAGCUCCACUGGACCAUAACGGACAGAAAUCCAGGCCCUUUUUGGGUUUUUCUGUGUACAGUUGUCCUAAACCUGAAAUAUAUGUGAUGCAUUCCACAUAUUGCUACUUUUUCUGCUGCAAUUAUGCCUCUGUGUUAUUAAACACAUACGCCAUAUGUCUUUAUUUGAAAGCUCAGAACCUGGUCAGUGCUCAUAGCAGAGGUAAUGCCCACUGCACUUCUGGAAUUUGGUUCCAGAGCUACAUGAGUACGACUGCACAGUGACUUCCAGCCUGGCCUGUUUCCUCCCGUGUUGGACAUUGUGGGCUUCACACGGACUCCUCCUGUCCUACACACACACACACACACACACGCACACACAGAGCUCAGGCCUCCAGCUGAGCCCUCCCCAGGAACCGCCUCAGCCAGGAGGAGCUCAGAGUCAGCCAUGUCAUCCUGGGGCCACCCCAUCCGAUGGGCUCAGGCGAGCACAGAGGCCCCGCCCCUUUGCCUGCAUAACGGCAGGCCUGAAGGACCCCCAGCGGUGCCCUUCCUUGGGGCUGCCUUCGAGGUUCAAAUUCUCCCUUUGCGGGGUCCCAGUCCUCCUGCCUCGCUCCCCACAGGGACGGAGCCUAAGAGCACUCUCUGAUAUUCCGCCUCUGCACAAACCAGGGGCUGAUUUUUGGAACUCUGUUAUGACACCACUUACCUCCCCCGACCUCCGUAUUGCACUGACCUGGCCCUCUGGCCUGUCACCUCUUCCCCAAAUGCCCGUGUUGGCUCCAGAGUUGGCCCAGGUGGCAAUCAGUGCUGGACCCCAAAUAUUCCCACGGUUCUGUCUUCCAGGGUCACUAGGGCUCCCCUGCCUGGCCCUGUGGCCGGGUGGGGCUGUGUGGAUAGCUGGCUGAUAGGCUGUGGGCAGAGAUGACCUGGGUCAGUUCAAGAAGAUGGUUUAACUGCCACCUGGAGCCCUCCAGAACCGCUCCCCUCCAGCACUGACGUGGGUCCUGGAAUGUGUGCACGAGGCGAGGCCCCUGCCAGUCCUCUGUGGGCAGGGAGAGCGGAUGUUGAACCUCUGGUGGUGUGCACGCUGAGACUGGGGACCGCUGCUCACAGCAGCAUCGUCCUGUGCAUCCCCCUGAUGCAGCUCCCGGGGGCAGGAACCUCCUUCCCUGCGCUUUCUGGCCAUUUCUCUCAACUUCCAAGUUCUGUACAAAACGCAACCAUCUCUGUGAAGCCUCUGCAUUCAGCCUGGAGCCUGUUCUUACUUUGUCCUGUGAAGUUUGUCUCCCCCAUUAGACUGACGGCACCUCCAGGACAGGGAGCACAUCCCAGGCUCCUUCUCUCUGUCACAAGGCCUUGGUUGUUGCAGAGGCCAUGCUGUGAAAGGCACAGGAGGCGUGAGGAGCCGAGUUGCAUGCUGGGUGGUGCUGACAGUGUGUGUGCAGCACGAGAGGAUGCUGAGAGGAGGGCACAGCCAACACAGCUGCUGAGCGUCACACGCUGCCCUGCUUCACUGGCCCCAGGCAGAGGCCAUGGCCUCCCGCCCACCGUGAGCACCUCCCGCCCUGCCAAUGCACCACGGGCCCGGGUUCCAGCCCCUCCGCAGUGCUCUGCGACGUUCUUCUCUGUACCCUAAGAGCUUAAUAGUGAUGUCAGAUGUUCACGCACAGUCAUGUCUGUAGCUUCGUGUAUUGAGCAAACAUCAAGCAUCCUGGGGUCCCAAAUGCUGCUGAUUAGAACAGAGAAUACGCCAGUGAGUACCGUUAAAAUCGGCUCGUUGGAACAUGGGUAAUGACACUGCUGUCUAGGCAGUUCUGCACAUGUGGGGACGCAGGGACUGCACCGUCCACCUGUGCCCACCGAGCCCAUCCACCGCACAAUGGCAGCGGCACGGCCGGCUCGCUGCAGGGCCGGUGCUCAGAGAGCCAGAACCGCGGCCUGGCUGGGUCAGAUCUCCCAGAGCAAGGUCAGCCGCGGGGCACACUGCCACCUCAGCAGCCUCCUGCUGCCGUUGCUGUCAUGUUCUCUGAAACACCUGACUUUCCUCAAAAACAUUUUGAGGAGGAUCCACAAGGCCUCCCCGCUUCACUCUGCUGCUGAAUCAUUUCCUCUGAACUGUUUCAGAUCUUUUAUUUAAUUGCUUGACGUUGCUCAUCUGUCCCAGAACUGCCUCUCGCAUAGACUCGGCUCCCUGACCUGUUAAAGGAGCCCCACGGGCUGCUGCUGAUUGGCCUGCGGUGGGCGAGACUCAAGUCCAGCCCCUGAUCCGCUCGGGGGCGCACAGCAAUGUGUCUCUGAUGCGGCCUCUGGGGUUGUCCAGGAUCAAAGACGUUUCUGGGGCUGAUGAUUCCCCCUGACCCCGUCACCCUCCUUCGCAGAGUCCUGUGCCGGUGGAGAGAGGAGGGUGAUCCUGCAGCCAGAG